rnacentral:sRNA from 1 species
UCUUUAUCUUAUCUUGUGACAGGAGGGAACCUUUUGAUACCUAGGCACUCCCAACAACAGAGUCUAGGUAAUAAAGGACCUGCCUCUGCUGGAGCAACAAAUGUGAAGAAUAAAGAAAAGGACUAGCCCAGAAAGCAGCCUUCUGGGAGGACAUAAUGGAAAUCCUGCUGAGGGCUGGAUUUUUAAGUGGGCUUCCUUUCCUUUUGCUCAACCUGGAGCACCAUUACCAUCAAAAAAAUCUUUGCCAUAUUCACUAUCAAAAAGAACCUUCAUUCCACCAUCAGCAUCUUCAGGAAAAGAAGCCUAUGAUGAAGCAACCCCAAGAACAUCAGCAUCUGCCAGGGAGGCUGCAAAAACUGUCAUCAAGGAAAGGCCAGGUAAGACCAGGAGAGGCCUGCAACAGGUGGUCCUCCCUCAGGAUUUAUGUGAGAAAUUCCUUGCUUCAGCAAUGAAGAACACUAAGGAAGGUAUUGAGACAUGUGGGGUGUCAUGUGAACUCCUGGUAAAUAUAUAAACAUUUCUUAUUCGAGGCACUUUUUUCCCUCUUGCCUUUCCAUGACUCUCAGGGAACAUAUCGAGGCUGUCUAUCUAUACAUAUAACCCUCCAGAAGGAGCUAUGAGUGACAAACCCUGUCAACCUUGAAUUUGAUGACUUUGUAUGUGGUUGCUUCUCAGAAUCUUUGAAUUCAAAAAUUUGGGCCAAUGCUAUAGUUAGAAAUGUUCUUUUCAGUUGGGGAUCAUGCCAGUAAUUCCAAUCAUUGGCAUAUUGAGGCUAGAGGCUUCUUACAAGAUAAAAUCAGACUCACAGAGUGCUAUAAAGCCUUAAAGAAAAGAAUGCAGACCAAAAAGCAGAGAAGCAGACAGUCAGGUAUAAGGCAGGGAAAAGUCUUGUUGUCAGUUGUGAAAAGAAAAGGAUGACUGAAUUGUUUUUGGUUCCUGGUCUGAUUACCUAAUCUGGUUAACCUUGGAAUGUAAAUUUUCUUGCCACCUCUGGAAUUCUAAGAAGACCUGCAGACUGACUCAGGGAAGAGAAUAGGUUCAGGAGGUGUCAAGAUGGACA